UACGUAGGGGGCAAGCGUUGUCCGGAUUUAUUGGGCGUAAAGAGCGUGUAGGCGGCCUGACAGGUCUGCUGUGAAAACUCGAGGCUCAACCUCGAGAUGUCGGCGGAAACCGUCUGGCUAGAGUCCGGAAGAGGAGAGUGGAAUUCCUGGUGUAGCGGUGAAAAUGCGCAGAUAUCAGGAAGAACACCUAUGGCGAAGGCAGCUCUCUGGGACGGUACUGACGCUGAGACGCGAAAGCGUGGGGAGCGAACAGG
rnacentral:rRNA from 1 species